AGUAUUCUUUUAUCAGCAAAUUACUUUACUUUCUGGGCUCUCAGGAUUAAGCUGCAAUCAGAACGUCUCAUUUACACGCUGAGAGUUGAUCAGUUUUUCACUUCCAACCACAACUUUAUCUCCCCCACCGAGGGCCUUGGUCCAGUGAGGCAGGGAGCCUGCCACAGGCCAGACUGGGAGAGGCGCCAAAACCUUCAUCCCCAAGGGUGUCAACUCUGCCUGUCUGGAUCUCUCCAGCGGAUUCUGCAACUGCAACUGGUUUUACCUGAUCAGGGACCUACCUGUUGGGCGAAAACAGACCAAGAAGAGAAAAACAGAGAUAAAACGCUCAACCUGCAGCACGUGUGUGUGUGUGUGUGUGUGUGUGUGUGUGUGUGUGUGUGUCGGGAGUGGCGGGGGGCUGAGGUCAAGGUUUCAAAUGCACACUAUUCCACCAGGAAAAUUACAUGUAGUUUCUUUUCCUUUGUCCUUGUCCAUCUGAAAGGUUUCCACUUCCCUUCAGGUGUCCGGGGUCAGGAUGAGAAUGAGGAGUCGGGAUGCAGUGAGCUUCUGGGCAGGGCUAGGGUUCAGGGUGGUUCGUCUGGGCAGCCUGAGACCAGCCCGGCCCACUCCCUCUGGUUCCAGAGCCCGGGUGGGGAGCCCGCGGGCGAGCGCUGGGUCCGUCUUUGGCCUCCUGACCCAGACAGCGCGGGGCGCGGGCUAGCGCAGCAGCCAGCCUCGUGGCCGCCCGCCAAGGGUUCGAGGCCUCUGCGACCCGGACGCGAUGGCAAGAAGCCACACAAGAACAAGUGUUUCGGGGCCGCAGACGUGGAGCGGCGGGCACUGAGGCAGAGGAGGAAGAGUCCUCCUCCGAGGGGACCGGUCCGGAGCGAGCUGGCUGGCAAGAAGGGGCGGGGUGCGCGCAGUCGGAGCCGCCGCGGCCGCCGUUGCCGCCACCGCGACGUCUGGGCAGAGCCGCAGCGAGGCGGGGAGGGACGCGCAGGGGCGGCUGCCGCAGCCCUCAGGCCACGGGGCGCGAUGCGGCCACGCUAA
rnacentral:lncRNA from 1 species